rnacentral:rRNA from 1 species
GACGAACGCUGGCGGCGUGCUUAACACAUGCAAGUCGAACGGCAAGGCCCUGCUUUUGUGGGGUGCUCGAGUGGCGAUCGGGUGCGUAACACGUGAGUAACCUGCCCUUGACUUUGGGAUAACUUCAGGAAACUGGGGCUAAUACCGGAUAGGAGAUCCUGCUGCAUGGUGGGGGUUGGAAAGUUUCGGCGGUCGGGGAUGGACUAGCGGGUUAUCAGCUUGUUGGUGGGGUAGUGGCUUACCAAGUCUUUGACGGGUAGCCGGCCUGAGAGGGUGACCGGCGACAUUGGUACUGAGAUACGGCCCAGACUCCUACGGGAGGCAGCAGUGGGGAAUAUUGCACAAUGGGCGGAAGCCUGAGGCAGCAACGCCGCGUGCGUGAUGACGGCCUUCGGGUUGUAAACCGCUUUCGCCUGUGACGAAGCGGGAGUGACGGUAAUGGGUAAAUAAGCACCGGCUAACUACGUG